GACAUAUUUGUAUUGACAGACAGCUUGGUUGAAGACAGGGUCUAAGCAGCACUCUGCCCUCUCUGUUCUCAGGCCGAGGAGGUGAAGGAGCUGGUCAACCAAGAGGUUGUGAACCAGUGCGGUGAGUGUUUCUGUGUUUCGCUGUGUGUGCGCAUGCAGGUCUGUGUGUCUGUUCUACAUUCUACAACUCCCACUGCUGCGGCAUGGCGCCCCUGUGUGUUCUGCCAUCUGGUGUGCCCUCUCUAUGGAAUGGCCCGUUGAGAGAGGGGACACCGUGACCGACCGGAGUCAUUCACAAACACCAGACUCAUAAACCAUAAACCAGACUCAUAAACCAUAAACCAUCACCAGAACCCAUAGGGCCCUACAACCACAGGGUCAAACGCAUCUUUAGUUUACACCUCCACAACUUUGAGGAGAAAGGCAUUGUUGCCUUAUCCGUAGUGAACAUCAUUAAAGUAGAGAAUUCCUUUUGUGUCAACAUAUCAUAUCAAAUGUAUCAUAUCAAAUGUCCUCCAUUAGUUUCCAGGCGAGGUGUGAAUACCAGACUAUGAAAUUGUCAAUUGAAACCAGUAAAAGCCUAUUUAAGGCAGGCUCAUGUUUAUUCAAUGGUAGGGGAAACACUGACUAUUCUGUCUGUGGUUGUUGCAGGGAUGAACUUGAAGUUUGUGGUGAAGUCCAAGGACCCGGAUGCUGAGAGCAUGUUGUUUGAGAGGGAUCCGGACGAGCCUAUAUCCAUCCUCACACGCAGCCUACCUGAGGAUGAGAUGGGAGAGGAGGAAGAGGACAAGAAAAUACUUGAAAAGGAGCUGGUAGGAUCAACCACUCCUCCCCCCAUCCCCCUGCGAGAGGAGGGGACCCCAGGUGAUGACAACCUUACCGACUCUGGAGCCAACAGGGGAGCGGAUUGGGGACUGAGGCACAGGAGAAGAAGGGUUCCGGGAGUU
rnacentral:lncRNA from 8 species